rnacentral:rRNA from 1 species
CCUACGGGUGGCAGCAGUAGGGAAUAUUGCUCAAUGGGGGAAACCCUGAAGCAGCAACGCCGCGUGGAGGAUGAAGGUUUUCGGAUUGUAAACUCCUUUUGUUAGAGAAGAUAAUGACGGUAUCUAACGAAUAAGCACCGGCUAACUCCGUGACAGCAGCCGCGGUAAUACGGAGGGUGCAGGCGUUACUCGGAAUCACUGGGCGUAAAGAGCGCGUAGGCGGGAUAGCAAGUCAGCUGUGAAAUCCUAUGGCUUAACCAUAGAACUGCAUUUGAAACUGUUAUUCUAGAGUAUGGGGGAGGUAGGUGGAAUUCUUGGUGUAGGGGUAAAAUGCGUAGAGAUCAAGAAGAAUACUCAUUGCGAAGGCGACCUGCUAGAACAUAACUGACGCUGAUGCUCGAAAGCGUGGGGAGCAAACAGGAUUAGAUACCCUAGUAGUC